GACGAACGCUGGCGGCGUGCUUAACACAUGCAAGUCGAACGGAAAGGCUCCAGCUUGCUGGAGUACUCGAGUGGCGAACGGGUGAGUAACACGUGGGUAAUCUGCCCUGCACUCUGGGAUAAGCCUGGGAAACUGGGUCUAAUACUGGAUAUGACCUUUCUCCUUAUGGGGUUUGGUGGAAAGUUUUUCGGUGUAGGAUGAGCCCGCGGCCUAUCAGCUUGUUGGUGGGGUGAUGGCCUACCAAGGCGACGACGGGUAGCCGGCCUGAGAGGGUGAUCGGGGGCAGUGGAGGUGAGGUACGGCCGCGGGUGCGACGGAAGGGAGCAGUGGGAAUUACGGCACAAUGGGCGGAAGCGUGAUGGAGCGGGGCGGGGUGGGGGUGGACGGCCGUCGGGGUACAACCCUCUUUGGGCAGAGGGGAAGAGUAAGAGACCGAACCAGAAAAAGAAGGACCGACUAACUAGGGAGCAGCGGCGGAAGAAAUAAGAGGAAGAGCACACGAAGAAAC
rnacentral:rRNA from 1 species